rnacentral:rRNA from 1 species
GGGAAGAGCCCAAACCAACAAGCUUGCUUGUUGGGGUUGUAGGACACUCUAUACGGAGUUACAAAGGACGACAUUAGACGAAUCAUCUGGAAAGAUGAAUCAAAGAAGGUAAUAAUCCUGUAGUCGAAAAUGUUGUCUCUCUUGAGUGGAUCCUGAGUACGACGGAGCACGUGAAAUUCCGUCGGAAUCUGGGAGGACCAUCUCCUAAGGCUAAAUACUCUCUAGUGACCGAUAGUGAACCAGUACCGUGAGGGAAAGGUGAAAAGCACCCCGGAAGGGGAGUGAAAUAGAACCUGAAACCGUGUGCUUACAAGUAGUCAGAGCCCGUUAAUGGGUGAUGGCGUGCCUUUUGUAGAAUGAACCGGCGAGUUACGAUUUGAUGCAAGGUUAAGCAGUAAAUGUGGAGCCGUAGCGAAAGCGAGUCUGAAUAGGGCGUUUAGUAUUUGGUCGUAGACCCGAAACCAGGUGAUCUACCCUUGGUCAGGUUGAAGUUCAGGUAACACUGAAUGGAGGACCGAACCGACUUACGUUGAAAAGUGAGCGGAUGAACUGAGGGUAGCGGAGAAAUUCCAAUCGAACCUGGAGAUAGCUGGUUCUCUCCGAAAUAGCUUUAGGGCUAGCCUCAAGUGAUGAUUAUUGGAGGUAGAGCACUGUUUGGACGAGGGGCCCCUCUCGGGUUACCGAAUUCAGACAAACUCCGAAUGCCAAUUAAUUUAACUUGGGAGUCAGAACAUGGGUGAUAAGGUCCGUGUUCGAAAGGGAAACAGCCCAGACCACCAGCUAAGGUCCCAAAAUAUAUGUUAAGUGGAAAAGGAUGUGGCGUUGCCCAGACAACUAGGAUGUUGGCUUAGAAGCAGCCAUCAUUUAAAGAGUGCGUAAUAGCUCACUAGUCGAGUGACACUGCGCCGAAAAUGUACCGGGGCUAAACAUAUUACCGAAGCUGUGGAUUGUCCUUUGGACAAUGGUAGGAGAGCGUUCUAAGGGCGUUGAAGCAUGAUCGUAAGGACAUGUGGAGCGCUUAGAAGUGAGAAUGCCGGUGUGAGU